GACGAACGCUGGCGGCGUGCUUAACACAUGCAAGUCGAGCGGUAAGGCCCCUUCGGGGGUACACGAGCGGCGAACGGGUGAGUAACACGUGAGCAACCUACCCUCAACUUUGGGAUAAGCCUCGGAAACGGGGUCUAAUACCGAAUAUCAUCUCCUGUUUCAUGGCGGGGGGUUGAAAGUUCUGGCGGUUGGGGAUGGGCUCGCGGCCUAUCAGCUUGUUGGUGGGGUAAUGGCCUACCAAGGCGUCGACGGGUAGCCGGCCUGAGAGGGCGACCGGCCACACUGGGACUGAGACACGGCCCAGACUCCUACGGGAGGCAGCAGUGGGGAAUAUUGCGCAAUGGACGGAAGUCUGACGCAGCAACGCCGCGUGAGGGAUGACGGCCUUCGGGUUGUAAACCUCUUUCAGCAGGGACGAAGCGAGAGUGACGGUACCUGCAGAAGAAGGACCGGCCAACUACGUGCCAGCCGCCGCAGUAAGAC
rnacentral:rRNA from 1 species